GAUGAACGCUGGCGGCGUGCCUAAUACAUGCAAGUCGAGCGAACAGACGAGGAGCUUGCUCCUCUGACGUUAGCGGCGGACGGGUGAGUAACACGUGGAUAACCUACCUAUAAGACUGGGAUAACUUCGGGAAACCGGAGCUAAUACCGGAUAAUAUAUUGAACCGCAUGGUUCAAUAGUGAAAGACGGUUUUGCUGUCACUUAUAGAUGGAUCCGCGCCGCAUUAGCUAGUUGGUAAGGUAACGGCUUACCAAGGCAACGAUGCGUAGCCGACCUGAGAGGGUGAUCGGCCACACUGGAACUGAGACACGGUCCAGACUCCUACGGGAGGCAGCAGUAGGGAAUCUUCCGCAAUGGGCGAAAGCCUGACGGAGCAACGCCGCGUGAGUGAUGAAGGUCUUCGGAUCGUAAAACUCUGUUACUAGGGAAGAACAAAUGUGUAAGUAACUAUGCACGUCUUGACGGUACCUAAUCAGAAAACCACGGCUAACUACGUG
rnacentral:rRNA from 1 species